GAUGAACGCUGGCGGCGUGCCUAAUACAUGCAAGUCGAGCGAACGGACGAGAAGCUUGCUUCUCUGAUGUUAGCGGCGGACGGGUGAGUAACACGUGGAUAACCUACCUAUAAGACUGGGAUAACUUCGGGAAACCGGAGCUAAUACCGGAUAAUAUUUUGAGCCGCAUGGUUCAAAAGUGAAAGACGGUCUUGCUGUCACUUAUAGAUGGAUCCGCGCUGCAUUAGCUAGUUGGUAAGGUAACGGCUUACCAAGGCAACGAUGCAUAGCCGACCUGAGAGGGUGAUCGGCCACACUGGAACUGAGACACGGUCCAGACUCCUACGGGAGGCAGCAGUAGGGAAUCUUCCGCAAUGGGCGAAAGCCUGACGGAGCAACGCCGCGUGAGUGAUGAAGGUCUUCGGAUCGUAAAACUCUGUUAUUAGGGAAGAACAUAUGUGUAAGUAACUGUGCACAUCUUGACGGUACCUAAUCAGAAAGCCACGGCUAACUACGUGCCAGCAGCCGCGGUAAUACGUAGGUGGCAAGCGUUAUCCGGAAUUAUUGGGCGUAAAGCGCGCGUAGGCGGUUUUUUAAGUCUGAUGUGAAAGCCCACGGCUCAACCGUGGAGGGUCAUUGGAAACUGGAAAACUUGAGUGCAGAAGAGGAAAGUGGAAUUCCAUGUGUAGCGGUGAAAUGCGCAGAGAUAUGGAGGAACACCAGUGGCGAAGGCGACUUUCUGGUCUGUAACUGACGCUGAUGUGCGAAAGCGUGGGGAUCAAACAGGAUUAGAUACCCUGGUAGUCCACGCCGUAAACGAUGAGUGCUAAGUGUUAGGGGGUUUCCGCCCCUUAGUGCUGCAGCUAACGCAUUAAGCACUCCGCCUGGGGAGUACGACCGCAAGGUUGAAACUCAAAGGAAUUGACGGGGACCCGCACAAGCGGUGGAGCAUGUGGCUUAAUUCGAAGCAACGCGAAGAACCUUACCAAAUCUUGACAUCCUUUGACAACUCUAGAGAUAGAGCCUUCCCCUUCGGGGGGGCAAAGUGACAGGUGGUGCAUGGUUGUCGUCAGCUCGUGUCGUGAGAUGUUGGGUUAAGUCCCACAACGAGCGCAACCCUUAAGCUUAGUUGCCAUCAUUAAGUUGGGCACUCUAAGUUGACUGCCGGUGACAAACCGGAGGAAGGUGGGGAUGACGUCAAAUCAUCAUGCCCCUUAUGAUUUGGGCUACACACGUGCUACAAUGGACAAUACAAAGGGCAGCGAAACCGCGAGGUCAAGCAAAUCCCAUAAAGUUGUUCUUAGUUCGGAUUGUAGUCUGCAACUCGACUACAUGAAGCUGGAAUCGCUAGUAAUCGUAGAUCAGCAUGCUACGGUGAAUACGUUCCCGGGUCU
rnacentral:rRNA from 1 species